GUGGACCGUGGAUCUCGAGGUAGGCGUGGCUUGUCAUCAAAAGAGUUUCAGAGACAGAUCAGAGUUGCGCAGCGAAAGAUUUGAGGAGUUGAGUCAGUUAGUUGGUUGACUUUUACUAUUUUUAUUAUAUUACAUGUUGUAUUUGUAAACCAAAUGACCAUUGUAUAUGUAUCAUUUGAGAGGAGUUAUUGUAUAUAUAUAUAUAUAUAUUUUUCUGA